GCAUCACUGACUUGGCUGAUGGAACUGAGAACAGGCUUAAAAAUGCAGAGGAGCCACAAUAAGUUGUGAAUGGAAGGAUCUUUAAUGAGCACCUGGGAGGAUAAAAUCUGAAUUUGGAUUGAUCUUAAGGUGAAGAAUUAGGAUCAAGCAACCAAUGUAGCCUGCAAGGGUCUGCAUGCUGAACAUCUGAAACAAAAACCAGUCCAGUCUCAAAUGGAGUGUGCUCACCCAACAUCGUCU
rnacentral:lncRNA from 1 species